UAGAGAGUAGUAAAAUGGAAUUACAGAAAGUUUUGAUCUUUCAAUUGUAGGUUCAAUUCCUAUCUCUUUAA
rnacentral:tRNA from 1 species